ACGGGAGGCAGCAGUGAGGAAUAUUGGUCAAUGGGCGCGAGCCUGAACCAGCCAAGUAGCGUGCAGGAUGACUGCCCUAUGGGUUGUAAACUGCUUUUGCCUGGGGAUAAAGUGCGGCACGCGUGCCGCUUUGCAGGUACCAGGUGAAUAAGGACCGGCUAAUUCCGUGCCAGCAGCCGCGGUAAUACGGAAGGUCCGAGCGUUAUCCGGAUUUAUUGGGUUUAAAGGGAGCGUAGGUGGAAUGGUAAGUCAGCCGUCAAAUCGCGCAGCUUAACUGCGCCCAGCGGUUGAAACUGCCGUUCUUGAGUGCACAAGAGGAAGGUGGAAUUCGUGGUGUAGCGGUGAAAUGCUUAGAUAUCACGAAGAACUCCGAUUGCGAAGGCAGCCUUCUGGGGUGCAACUGACACUGAGGCUCGAAGGUGCGGGUAUCAAACAGGAUUAGAUACCCUGGUA
rnacentral:rRNA from 1 species